GCCGCGUGAAGGAUGAAGGCCCUCUGGGUCGUAAACUUCUUUUAUUAGGGAAGAAACCUCAAGAUGCGUCUUGAGCUGACGGUACUUAAUGAAUAAGGAUCGGCUAACUUCGUGCCAGCAGCCGCGGUAAGACGAAGGAUCCAAGCGUUGUCCGGAUUUACUGGGUUUAAAGGGUGCGUAGGCGGAAAAUUAAGUCAGUGGUGAAAGCCCGCAGCUCAACUGUGGAACUGCCAUUGAAACUGGUUUUCUUGAAUAUAGCUGAGGCAGAUGGAAUAUAACAUGUAGCGGUGAAAUGCUUAGAUAUGUUAUAGAACACCGAUUGCGAAGGCAGUCUGCUAAACUAUUAUUGACGCUGAGGCACGAAAGCGUGGGGAGCGAACAGGAUUAGAUACCCUGGUAGUCCACGCCCUAAACGUUGAUUACUCGCUGUUGGCGAUAUACUGUCAGUGGCUAAGCGAAAGCAUUAAGUAAUCCACCUGGGAAGUACGACCGCAAGGUUGAAACUCAAAGCGAAUUGACGGGGGCCCGCACAAGCGGAGGAGCAUGUGGUUUAAUUCGAUGAUACGCGAGAAACCUUACCUGGGCUUAAAUGUCA
rnacentral:rRNA from 1 species